rnacentral:rRNA from 1 species
CGCGUAGGCGGGCUCUCAAGUCCGGGGUGAAAUCUUUCGGCUCAACCGGAAAAUAGCCUUGGAUACUGGGGGUCUCGAGUGAGGUAGGGGCGGGUGGAACUUCCGGUGGAGCGGUGAAAUGCGUUGAUAUCGGAAGGAACGUCGGUGGCGAAAGCGACCCGCUGGACCUCUUCUGACGCUGAGGCGCGAAAGCCAGGGGAGCAAACGGGAUUAGAUACCCCGGUAGUCCUGGCCCUAAACGAUGGGUACUAGAUAGCGGACUAGACAUGGGUUCGCUGUCGAAGCAAAAGUGCUAAGUACCCCGCCUGGGGAGUAUGGUCGCAAGGCUGGAA